rnacentral:rRNA from 1 species
UACAGAGGGGGCAAGCGUUGUUCGGAAUUACUGGGCGUAAAGGGCGCGUAGGCGGCCUGUUAAGUCGAACGUGAAAUCCCCGGGCUCAACCCGGGAACUGCGUCCGAUACUGGCAGGCUUGAAUCCGGGAGAGGGAUGCGGAAUUCCAGGUGUAGCGGUGAAAUGGCGUAGAUAUCUGGAGGAACACCGGUGGCGAAGGCGGCGAUC